UACAGAGGGUGCGAGCGUUAAUCGGAGUUACUGGGCGUAAAGGGCGCGUAGGCGGUUUAAUGGGUGUGAUGUGAAAGCCCUGGGCUUAACCUGGGAAGUGCAUCGCAAACUGUUGGACUGGAGUAUUGGAGAGGGUGGCGGAAUUUCCGGUGUAGCGGUGAAAUGCGUAGAGAUCGGAAGGAACGCCGAUGGCGAAGGCAGCCACCUGGCCAAAUACUGACGCUGAGGCGCGAAAGCGUGGGGAGCGAACAGG
rnacentral:rRNA from 1 species